CGAGCCCUAUAUUUCUCCUCGUCGAAACCUUCUUCUUCCUUCCCUCGCCGAAUUCCUCUCCUCAUCUCACCACCACCGAACCUUCUUCUUUUCAACCCGCGCCCUAAGCUUCGCCAACCCCUCCUCUCCUCUUCCUUCCCGAGCCACACCGCUGAGCUUUUCCCCUCUCCUCUUCGCUAAUCCUCCCCUGCCGUCAUCUCCUUGUUGAGGAGGUUCUCACCGCGCCGAUUGCCACGAGAGCACCGCCGGCAGCAGUCCUUCUUUUCGUGUGUCUCUGCCCCAGAGCAAUCACCACCUUCCCUGUGCUCUAGCACUGGCACAGAUCGCUCUCCUCUGCUGCGAUUUGGCAGCACAACAGCCACACCCAAGACCUAGCUUCUAUACACUGCCGCCCCUUUAUUCUUGGUCUGAUUCCACUUGUCGCCGUCUUCCUCUGCUUUGAGCCGGCAUCACCAUCUUAACCUAGAGCCAGUAGUUGCAGCCAGCAGAUCUUCUGCUCUGGCCACUAUUUUCCGACAACACAAAUCUUUGGCUAUGAUUCAACAGAGAGGGCAAAGGGAAAUUUUGUUUGGGAGAUCAACCACCUCACCUUGCACCAGCUACUAGUUCUCGGUAGCCAACGUCUUCAACUUUGGAUCAACAGUGAUACAUCCAAAUUUAGGACUCUGAUUAGAGACGAGUGUCUCGACAUGGGAGAUAGUUGAUACGAGCUAUGAUUAAGGCGGG